AUUGAACGCUGGCGGCAGGCCUAACACAUGCAAGUCGAACGAGUGGCGGACGGGUGAGUAAUGUCUGGGAAACUGCCUGAUGGAGGGGGAUAAAUACUGGAAACAGUAGCUCAUACCGCAUCCCAUCGGAUGUGCCCAGGGGGGAUUAGCUAGUAGGGGGGGUAAAGGCUCACCUAGGCGACGAUCCCUAGCUGUUGUGAGAGGAUGACCAGCCACACUGGAACGGAGACACGGGCCAGCCGCCUACGGUAGGCAGAAGUGGGGAAUAUUGCACAAUGGGCGCAAGCCUGAUGCAGCCAUGCCGCUUGUAUGAAGAAGGCCUUCGGGUUGUAAAGUACUUUCAGCGGGGAGGCGUUACCCGCAGAAGAAGCACCGGCUAACUCCGUGCCAGCAGCCGCGGUAAUAC
rnacentral:rRNA from 1 species